UACAGAGGGUGCAAGCGUUAAUCGGAAUUACUGGGCGUAAAGCGCGCGUAGGUGGUUCAGUAAGUUGAAUGUGAAAUCCCCGGGCUCAACCUGGGAACUGCAUCCAAAACUGCUGAGCUAGAGUAUGGUAGAGGGUGGUGGAAUUUCCUGUGUAGCGGUGAAAUGCGUAGAUAUCUGGAGGAACACCGGUGGCGAAGGCGGCGUUCUGGACUGCAACUGACACUGAUGAACGAAAGCCAGGGGAGCAAACGGG
rnacentral:rRNA from 1 species